CAGGUAGAAAGGAUGAAUAGAAC
rnacentral:piRNA from 1 species